GACGAACGCUGGCGGCGUGCUUAACACAUGCAAGUCGAACGGAAAGGCCCUGCUUUUGUGGGGUGCUCGAGUGGCGAACGGGUGAGUAACACGUGAGUAACCUGCCCUUGACUUUGGGAUAACUUCAGGAAACUGGGGCUAAUACCGGAUAGGAGCUCCUGCUGCAUGGUGGGGGUUGGAAAGUUUCGGCGGUUGGGGAUGGACUCGCGGCUUAUCAGCUUGUUGGUGGGGUAGUGGCUUACCAAGGCUUUGACGGGUAGCCGGCCUGAGAGGGUGACCGGCCACAUUGGGACUGAGAUACGGCCCAGACUCCUACGGGAGGCAGCAGUGGGGAAUAUUGCACAAUAGGCGGAAGCCUGAUGCUGCAACGCCGCGUGCGGGAUGACGGCCUUCGGGUUGUAAACCGCUUUCGCCUGUGACGAAGCGUGAGUGACGGUAAUGGGUAAAGAAGCACCGGCUAACUACGUG
rnacentral:rRNA from 1 species